ensembl:snRNA U2 U2 spliceosomal RNA
GUUUUUUCUCGGCCUUUUGGCUAAGAUCAAGUGUAGUAUCUGUUUUUAUCAGUUUAAUAUCUGACACAUCCUCUAUUUGAGAAUUAUAUAUUAAAUGGAUUUUUGGGCAUGAGUGCUACUUAGU